UAGAAUUCUAAGGAUAUUCCUGAAAAAAAAAAAAAAAAAAAAAACAGCAGCAAAAAACCACAGACUCUUCCAUGUGCUACAUAAAAAUGCAAGUUUGGUGUCAUACUUCAGCAAUAGUUCUCAUAAAAUUUAGGACUCAACCACCUCAUAAAAAGGAAAUACUUUGGAUACCUGGAUGGCUUAGUUGGUUAAGUGUCUGCCUUCAGGUUAGGUCAUGAUCCCAGGGUCCUGGGAUCGAGUCCCACAUUGGGCUCCCUGCUUCUCCCAUUUCUCUGCCUGCCACUCCCUGUGCUUGUUGUGUUCUUUCUCAAGUAAAUAAAUAAAUAAAGUCUUUAAACAACAACAAAAAAGAAAUACUUCUUGCGGUGCUCACAACAAAAUUUGUAUCUAUUCUUCCUGUAGAAACUGAGCCUACUCAUGGUUUAUCACUGACAAAACAUCCACGGUUACCAUUUGUUGAGCAUCCACUAUGAGCCAGUAUCUUAGUCCAUUUUGACUGCUACAACAAAAGUCUCAAAGACUGGGAUGCUUAAACAAUAAGCACUUAUUUCUCACAGUUCUGGAGGUUGGGAAGUUCCAAAAUUAAGGCACCAGCAGAUUCAGUGUUUGAUAAGGGUUUAUUUACUUCAUAGACAGCCUCAUUCUUGUUCUGCUCAUGUGGCAAAAGGAAUAAGAGCACUCUUGAGGUCUCUUUUAUGACGGCACUAAUCCAAUUCAUGAGGGCUCCAUCCUUAUGAUCUAAUCAUCUUCCAAAAGCUUUACUUUCAAAUACCAUCACAUUGGGUGUUAGGAUUUCAACAUAUGAAUUUUGGGGAGGAUGUAAGCAUUCAGUCUAUAACAACCAAACACUCUGCUUGUUAUGGCAUAAACAAUAUUUCAUUAAUUUGAAUCCUUAAUGGUCUUUGCAGAUGAUGGUGAAUGAUGGUGAAGUUUGAGAUGAGAUUACACUAGACAGUAGUGGGCCCUAAAUCUAUGGAUUGGUGUCCUUAGAAGGAGAGAGAAGAGGGGAGGGAGACAGAAAAGGAGUAAGGUCAUGUGAGUAUCCACAGAGGGGGACUGGAGUUAUGCUGCCACAAGCCAAGGAUGACAGGAACUCCAGAAGCUGGAAGAAAUGAGGAAGGAUUCCCUCCUAGACCCUUCAAAGAGAGAAAUUGAAAACAAACAAACAAAAAAACAGAGAUUGUGGCUUUAUUAUACAUAAAAAUAAACUCAAAUGGAUUAAAGACCUAAAUGUGAGACCCAUAACCAUUAGAAUCCUAGAAGAGAGCAUAGGCAAUAAUGUCUCUGACAUCAGCCAUAGCAACAUUUUUCUAGAAAUGUCUCCUGAGGCAAGGGAAGUAAAAGCAAAAAUAAACUACUGGGACUAUAUCAAAAUAAAAAGCUUUUGUAUGGCAAAGGAAACAAUCAACAAGGGAACCUAUUGAAUGGGAGAAUAUAUUUGCAAACGAUGUAUCUGAGAAAGGAUAAAUAUCCAAAAUAUAUAAAAAAAGCCAUACAAUUCAAUAUCCAAAAAACAAAUAAUCCAAUGAAAAAAUAGGCAGAAGAUAUCCACAUGGCCAACAGACACAUGAAAAGAUGUUCAAUAUCACUCAUCUUCAGGAAAAUACAAAUCAGAAGUACAAUGAGCUAUCACUUCAGACCUAUCAGAACAUCUAAAAUAAAAAACACAAGAAAUGACAAGUGCUAGUGAGGAAGUAGAGAAGGAACCUAGUGCGGUAUUGGUGGGAAUGCAAACUGGUACAGCCACUAUGGAAAACAGUAUGGGGAUUACUCAAAAAAUUUAAAAUAGAACUACCUUAUGAUCUGGUAAUUUCUUUACCAGGUAUUUAUACCCCAAAUACAAAAGCACUAAUUCAAAGAGAUACAUGCACCCCUAUGUUUAUAGCAGCAUUUUUUUUUUUACAAUAGCCAAAUAGUGCUGGUAUAUAUGUAUGUAUAUAUGUAUGUUUAUUUAUUUACUUAUUUAGAGUGCACAAGUGGGGUGAGAGGAGGGGCAUAGGGAGGGAGAGACUCAAGCAGGCUCCAUGGCCAGCAUGGAGCCUGAUCUGGGGCUUAAUCACACAACCCUGAAAUCAUGAUCUGAGCUGAAAUCAAGAGUCCAAUACCUAACUGAGCCACCCAGGUGUCCCUACAAUAGCCAAAUUAUGGAAGUAGUCCAAGUAUUCAUCGAUAGAUAAAUGGAUAAAGACAAAGUGGUAUAUACAUACUAUGAGAUAUUAUUCAGCCAUGAAAAGGAAUGAAAUCUUGCCAUUUGCAACAACAUGGAUGGAGCUAAAGAAUAUAAUCCUAAGUGAAAUAAAUUAGUCAUAGAAAGACAAAUUCUGUAUGAUUUCACUCAUGUGGAACUUAAGAAACAAAACAAAUGAGCAAAGGAAAAAAAGAAGCAAGAACAUGGGUUGCCAGCAUUUUUUUUUUUUAAAGACACAUUUAUUCAGCGUCAUGAUCAGACUAUUACAUUUAGCAAUCAACAGCAUGGGUGCAAAAAAAAAAAAAAAA
rnacentral:lncRNA from 1 species